CUUUAUAGAGUGGAUAAAAAACACUGCCUGCAGUUGUUUGCCUCUGAAUCUUUGUCACACGAUCUUCAAAGACACACCCAUCGGCCAUAACAGUUCAUAGACUUGUUUCAUACUUUCAUGUCAUCACUCAUCAGUUCAGUGGACAGUGGAUCUUCACAGUUCACAUUCAUUAGUCAUUAGACUCAUUACUGAUAUCAGAUAUUUCGAAGGCAUUCCUGAGGCUGUUUCAGAGAGUGAGCAAAGAGGUAUGAAAAGCUAGUACACAACCGACCGACAUUGAAUGAUACAAUUUCACCGGCUGAACCUCAUAACUUGAAUGAGGCCACAACGCUAAUGAAGAGGAGAAUGACAAUCCACUUCAAAGGAGAAAGAGAGCUAAUGCAUUUGCUAGUUGGACAAAAUUUAAAGAGGUGAUCCUUCCUGACGGCUCAAGGAAGGUAGAGUUGUAUCCAUUGUAAGGGCAAAUUACAAAUUACUUCAACCAGAAGCAUUACCCAAUUUUUAAGAAAUCUGAAAGGGUGUGUGAGGCGAUUAGCUUCCAUUAGGCAACAUUAGAUUAAUUUCCCCCGUGUCGGUUCAAGUGUUGGAGGAAAUGUCAUCCUGCUCUUAUAGGCAAGUUCAACACGGCGAAAAUGAGGGAAUUAGUUGCCCAUUGGGUGCUUAUGCAUGAGCAUCCAUUUAUGGGUGUGGAGGAAGAGGGUUCCAACAGUAUGAUGAAGUAUGAGAUUCCUACCUGGGGCAUGUUUCACACAAAAGUUGUAAAAAUGAUUGUAUAAAGGUGUAUGAAAUGGAGAAGCAGAAGUUGAAGACAUUGUUGAACAGUGUUAGUAAAAUUAGUGUGAUGACAUAUUUAUAGAAUUCAAGCAAUCAAAAGAUUAUUGUGACGACAGAUUAUGGUGGCUUCACAGGCUACUUUUAGUGUUGGAAGUAGAGUUGUUGACACUUAUCGAGCUUCAUUGUCUCCCGAAACAGUGCAAAUGCUAUUAUGUGAAGGUGAUUGGUGUCUCAAUAUUAAUGAAGUGAAGAAAAAGAGCAAAAAGCAACCAGUGGAGAUUAAGAUUCCUAUCCCUUCAGUUGGAAAUCAAGAGAUUGUUUGAUCCUUCUCCCUUCACUCAUUGGCUGUGGCAGCAGGCAGACACAUGUCCUUUCUUUAAAAUUUUCUGAAUUGGAUUUCUGUUAUUUGUUCUUGUUUUGCUUGGUUUAUUUGAACAUGGAGAU